rnacentral:tRNA from 1 species
GCCCAAAUGGUCUAGUGGUAUGAUUCUCGCUUCGGGUGUGGGAGGUCCCCGGUUCAAACCCGGGUUUGGGUU